AGAGACACCACAUGUUUUAUGGAUCAAAACUGAUACUUGCUCAUGCUGGCAUCUCAAGGAAUUUUAAAUUCCAAAUACAGGUGUGCAUGUGUCCACUUGGAAACUACUUUUUCGUGAGUUGUUCGAGACGAAAACCCAGUCUAUAUGAUGGACUGCUCUCCUAUUUUUUUUUUAUGUGUGCGCCUGCUCCGUGCUCUUUUGUUCCCACCAGGCUAUUGUGUUGAUCCGUGGGGAUUUCUUUUUACCCCUGCCAUUGGUUUGCUCUGUAAAACGCAGGUGUUCCCAAUACUUUUCUUUUAUAAAAAAUCUGGGCUGUCAUAGCCUUUUCUCUGGAAGCGUUGAUUGUUAAACUACUAAAAUGUCUUCUGUAGGUUUUGCUUACUCGUGGCUGUAUGUUGGUGAUAAUCCCCAAGUGCAGGGAAUCAUCAUAGCAAUUCCCAAAGGUGGAAGUGAUAAGUAUGGAGUGUCGAACCCACAAGGAGCUAAAGGGCAAUCCACAACAUGAAUAUACAUGUAGCAAUGGUGUGCCCUUGGAACGUCCUGCAGUAAGCCCUCUCAAAGAAUCCUUAUGAAGUGUUCCUAGAGUUUGGUGGAUAUGACCGGAGUGAUAUUUUCAUAAGGAAGUCCAAGGCACAAGGGCUAUAAAUGUUAAGGAUUGCCUGACUGCGACAACUAUUGGGUUCCGUCUCACCAUGCAGUGUCGCAAUAAGGCCAUUGAUCCAGUGUAGUUGUUGGGCAUGCACAUUGUGGAAUGGUUAUAGCAACUCGCUGCACUGCAGAUCAGGCCAUUCCCUUCCUCAGCAGAGCAGUCGGGCAAUUUUUGGACUACAGAAUUAGUCCCGAGAGAUGAAGUAAGAGCUGCAGUUGAUCAUGUUGUCCAAACAAGUCUUGAUCAAACAAACAGAAUGACUUGAUUAAUUGGGCUUAUAAGUUGGUUGCAUCAACUGAUAGAUGCACUAAUGUAUGUAAGUGAAAUUAUCUCCUUGAGUCAUGAUUGGCAUAUUUCCUUGCUUGAUGAAGGUUCCAUCUUUACAUAAUAGUUUUCUAUGCAUAUGAAACUGCUCUAUAUAGACAAAAGGUGGACGACUACAAAUCCAGUGGCCGUUGCUCCGUUGUGGACAUGGGAGUCGUCUGAAUUUUGUCGUCCAUAUAGCAAGGUUCCUAUGCAUAUCCUGUCAAGUAAAAUUUUUCAUGAAAAUAUGAGGUGGGCCGUGGGCAUCAAUCUUUCACAGGUUCAGGGUUGAAAAUGUCGACAACUUUGUAUGGUUGAAGGAUAUUCCAAGAAUUCCCACUCUCGCAAGAAAACAACUUGGCUCACUUAUGCUAAGAUGUUCUGGUGUUAAGUUUCUCCUCUUUUAUGGACCAAGAAGAUGAAUUAUUUUGACAACAUCAACUGCAUUUGUACUGACAACAAAAAUAUUGUUGCUUGGACGGUCUUACAUUUAGAGAUGCUAUCCAAGCCACAUAAUCCUUCCCUAACAUGCAGAUGCUAUCUAAGCAUUUGUGUUCUAACAAAGAUAAAUAACUUUCUUUUCAUUAAUCAAUAAGAGCGGCACAAAGUUCAGGUCCCUGUCUUAAUGGCAGACGGAAUGAGGGGAAGGAGAACUGAUGUUGUGGUCAUAUAUUUUGAUGUAACACAUGGCAAGUAGUGUAUGCCCAUUGAAAUAUGUCGACGAUAUGUAUACAAGUGUCAACAAAAACAUCAUUUAACCGUUAUGACAGAUGUUUCUAUGAUUGUUAGCUGACAGAGCAUUUGUUGUGAUGGUGUUGGAAGCGUUGUGUAUGGCAAAGGUAGAUCCCGUUGUAGUGCAGAGCAGAGUUAGCACCAUUCAAGUCCAUUAUUGAAUGUGUGGAUACUACCAAAUGAUGUAUGUCUCAUUUUCAUACUAAAGUGUGGCUUCUAUUGCAAAAAAAGCUUGCGGCAAAGCCGAGGAGAUGGAUUGCAAGGGGGAAGAGAAGAUGUUUUCAUAGAUUAAAUUUUGUAAGAAAAGUAGUGUGUAUAUAC